UCGUGGCGGUGGACGACCGCUGGGAGCAAUCCUGGAGGAAAGUCCGGACACCACAAGGCAGCAUACCGUGUAGAACACGCGGGAGGCAGGGGCGAAAGCCCCGGUCGACGGAGAGUGUCACAGAGAAGAUACCGCCCUGGUCGCAAGAUUGGGGUAAGGGUGAAAAGGCGGGGUAAGAGCCCACCGCCCCGAGGGCAACCGAGGGGGCAUGAAAAACCCUAUGCGGUGCAAGACAGAACAGGGGAAGAGGCCGCCGGCUUCGAGGCUUCACCAUCGGUGAAGCGGGACCCCGGGUAACGUCGCACCCGUCGCAAGACGGGCGGGGAUCCCCGGUUCGCCGGAGAUCCUUGAGAGAAAUGGCCGUCCAAGCCGGGGUAACCCGGCCUGACAGAAUCCGGCUUAUAGCCGUCACAACUGG
rnacentral:RNase_P_RNA from 1 species